rnacentral:rRNA from 1 species
GACAGAGGGUGCAAGCGUUGUUCGGAAUUAUUGGGCGUAAAGGGCGCGUAGGCGGCUUCAUAAGUCAGAUGUGAAAGCCCGGGGCUUAACCCCGGAAGUGCGUCUGAUACUGUGAAGCUUGAGUCCUGGAGAGGGCGGUGGAAUUCCCAGUGUAGAGGUGAAAUUCGUAGAUAUUGGGAGGAAUACCGGUGGCGAAGGCGACCGCCUGGACAGAGACUGACGCUGAGGCGCGAAAGCGUGGGGAGCAAACAGG